GCGCGACGUUGGUGUAGGGGUUAAGCGCGUGACCACAUAUAGAGGCUAUAGUCCUCGAAGCGGCUGUCCAGGGUUCGAGUCCCGGACCCGGCG